rnacentral:lncRNA from 10 species
GGCGAACGCCGCGCUGCCCGCCGUGGAACCGAGCCACGCAGGAACAGGAGAAGCACACGCCCCUCGCACCCCCGUCCCCGGCUGCCCGGGCACCUCGUCCUCAUCGGGACGCCACUUCCGCCUGUCUCUGCCGACACCCCGCGGCCACUUCACACCCCCACUCCGCGGGGCCUUCCCACGCGCCCGCCAUCCCAGGCAGCGUCGUUUCCCAGCGCCGGUGCUGCGCUGAGACCAGCCGAGGGACGCCGAUAUCACGUUUUGGCAGAACUGACUAUACCGGCUGUCUGCGGCGUGCGGUUUGUCCAGAGCAUACAGCGAGACCUCUCUGAAGACCCCCAGAUGGCCUCGACCCCGGCUUUUGAGGGAGGGCUGGACAGCUUGGCCUCCCGUUUCCUGCGCACGCACCCCGAUGCUGCAAGCUGCCAUCUGGGAAGCUUGGCAUUCGGGUUAGACACAAACAGCGCCCGAUGGUAAUGGUCCUUGAGCCCAACUCUGCCGACCCACGCAUUCGGUUUAGUCCUCUUAAAGCAGAUCUAGAAAUGGUUUUUCACUGAAGAGAAAACUACAGAAACUUCUGCCACCACAGGACCAGGACUUGAUCACAAGCAAGAAAAGCUGAGUCUGAAACUGACAGAGUCUCGCUCUGUGGCCCAGGCUGCUGAAGUGCAAUGGCACGAUCUUGGCUCAUUACAGCCUUGAUCUGGACUGAAGUGAUCCUCCCACCGCAGCCCUCCUGAGUAGCUGAGACUGCAGGCGUGCGCCACCACAUCUGGCUUUUUAUAUUUUUUUGUAUUCUUAGUAGGGAUGGGGUCUCCCAUGUUGCCUAGGCUGGUCUCAAAAUCUUGGGCUCAAGUAAUCCUCCUGCCUCAGCCUCCCAAAGUGCUGGGAUUAUAGGCAUGAACCACCACUCCCAGGCAGCUUCAAUUUAACAAAAAUAUAUUUAUCACCUACUGAAUUCCAAGUACUGUGUUGAAAGAGGGUAGGACCCCAGAUUAAGAAACAGAUAUUUGCAUAAAUCAAUGCAAUGCAAUAUAGAACUUGUAGCAAAAAAAACGGUAUGUGCAAAGUACGGAAGCAGAGGACAAUGAGUUCUGUCUUCUCGGCUCCACAGAUUCCAAGGAAGAACAGAGGCAGUGGCAAGACUCACCGAGGACCUCCUGCCCGCCAGACCCCGCCGAGAGGCUGCCGUGAUGGCUCACCAGAGGCCGAGACGACCCUAAGGCUAACCCCACUUUAAGAUGAGGAGCCUGAGGCUCGUGUUAGUUUGGUUCCUGGCAUGACGCUGUGGCAGGGCUGGGGAGCUCACCUCUCUGACCCAGAGCUCACGGGGAUGAGCUCCAGUUGGAAUGAAUGAGGCAGGUACUUUUUGAUAGUUGGAGUUUAACGCUUUAUCACUGCAUUACCGAUUGUUUCUCUUAACUCAUUUUACGUAUUCUUCUCCACUUAAUGCUGUACCUGUAAGCACAGCGCCAUCAUUCAACGCAAACAUGCGUAUUUCACACAUUCCCAGUGUGCUGCAUUUUCCAGUCAUCGAAGGUUCUCUCCAUUCUUGGUCAUUCCUGUGAGCCAGGAGCUUUCUCAGCAGCGGCAGAUGCUGGCGAGGGGAGUUCCUGCCCUGCGCUCUGCUCUGCCCACCUGCCUGCCUGUCAGAUCCUCCCGGCCCAGGUGAGCAGAGCCCCUGGGAUGCUCUGUCUGGACUAUCCCAGGAAGCUUAGCAGAGGCCUGGAGGGGCUGGGAGGGCCCCAGCUCUUGCCCAGGCAGCUUGGGGAACCCACAGCCUAGAGGGGUUUACGUGACCAAAGCGUCAUGGGGAGCAGGCUCAGGGGCAAAGGGAGACCUGGGUCGGGGGAGAGAAGCCCCUGCCUCUGCGGGAGGGGGUCUCUUGUCUGAGCUGUGGGCUUUCACACCCACAAAGGGAGUGCCCACACCUUUGCUUAGGAGCUCAGGCCCUUCCAGGUGGAGCACCCUCUAAGCAAAGUGUAAAGUGUUCUGAACCACAAUGGUGCCACUUCAUGGAGGAUCGAUUGUAUUUGAGGGUUGGAGGGUGAGAACAGCAAAAAAUAAUAAUUCAACCAGUUGGUUAUUAUGAACAUCAUUUUCAUAUUUUAAAAAAUAUGCUAUAUCAUGGAAUUCAAUGUAAAACCUCAAGAGACGCCAUCCUUGGAGAGGGCUGCACCAGCCUGUGCCCCAAGUUACCCAGGAUCACCCCCUACUUCUCCUGACAGCCCCCCGAGAAAGGCCUGCAUUCUGGGCGACGUGGCCCUCAGGGGCUCAACCCUUGGCCUCGAGAGGGGCCACCCAUCCUCAGCGGCUCAGGCAUCUGUGCUGGUGCCGUCUCGCCAUCUGGGUCACCCAACAGCUGCCAUCCUCUGCCCUUCUCCCAGGGCCCAGGGAGUAAUUCCCACAGAAUUCACACAGACUAGAGGCCGGUGGGCUGAGACCUAAACGGGCACAGCCCCUCCUGUGCAGAACCCUUGGCCUACACUCACUGCUGUGGCCGCCGGCACAGGCAAGCCUCGUGCCUGUGUGUCCUGGAGCUUGGUUCUGGGGAGGCGUUUUGGGAAUAAACUCUUUGAUCUUCACUGUUGGGCUGGUCCUUCACAGUCUCCCUCACUUAACUGAGGUGAGGAGACAGCAAAACCCUCUGGAAAUUUGGAGUAGGUGUUGCUUCAAGAAAUGGAGUUUUCCUUCUAAACACAGUUCCUGUUGUCACCAAAUCCAACCUUCUUCAUCUCAAAUACAGAAUUCAGAUGGAAAGGAGGCCACCCCACCCUCAGCCCAGUGCUCAACUCACACAGCGGCUCCCAAGGUAGAGGUGAGACAGGGCAGCCCCAGGCCCUCCCUGCCGCCUCCAGCACUGACGACGCUCAUCACACCAGCCUUUCCACUCUCAACAAAUGGUUUCGCCGUAUCUGAAUACCGCCCUCCUCCUCCCGCCCCAGAAUGCUGUUCACUUAUCUUUCUUUAAACAAAUCUUCUCAUAAGCUGCAAUGCAAGUAUUGAGAAAUCAAACUUGAUAUUACUACUGUAAAGGAAAAAUCAGAGUCAACUGACCAAAUAGAAAGUCGCCAUAAAAAUGAAAGCAGUGAAAUCAAGGCGAUAAUAUUCUAUUCUAGCGAGAUCCUGGAAGCCAGGGAUUCGUUGCUGAAUUCUAUUAGACAUUUAAGGAAGAGAAUGACGUCAAACUCAUACAAACUUCUUCAGAAAGUGAAGGAGGAGGGACUGUUUUCCCAUCUGUGUUAUGAGGCCUGUGACGCGGACAACGCUGGAAAGAACCUGCAGGCAACAGCAGAGCAAGGCCCUCGUGAGCACGGCAACAUUCCUCAACAAAAAUGAGCAAAUCCAUCCCAGAAAACAUGAAACUGGGCCGGGCGUGGUGGCUCACACCUGUAAUCCCAGCACUGUGGGAGGCCGAGGCGGACGGAUCACCUGAGGUCAGGAGUUCGAGACCAGCCUGGCCAACAUGGUGAAUGAAACCUCGUCUCUACUAAAAAUACAAAAAUAGCCGGGCGUGGUGGCGUGUGACUGUAAUCCCAGCUACUCGGGAGGCUGAGGCAGAAGAAUCACUUGAACCCGGGGGACAGAGGUUGCAGUAAGCCGAGAUCGCCCCACUGCACUCCAGCCUGGCCAAUAUGGCAAAACCCCAU